rnacentral:rRNA from 1 species
CGUGAAGAAAGGGCCGGGCAAGACCGGUGCCAGCCGCCGCGGUAAUACCGGCGGCUCGAGUGGUGGCCACUAUUACUGGGCUUAAAGAGUUCGUAGCUGGUCUGUUAAGUCUCUGGGGAAAUCUACUGGCUUAACCAAUAGGCGUCUCAGGGAUACUGGCAGACUAGGGACCGGGAGAGGUGAGAGGUACUCCAGGGGUAGGAGUGAAAUCCUGUAAUCCUUGGGGGACCACCUGUGGCGAAGGCGUCUCACCAGAACGGCUCCGACAGUGAGGGACGAAAGCUGGGGGAGCAAACCGGAUUAGAUACCCGGGUAGUCCCAGCUGUAAACGAUGCGCGUUAGGUGUAUCGAUGACCACGAGUCAUCGAGGUGCCGAAGAGAAAUCGUGAAACGUGCCGCCUGGGAAGUACGGUCGCAAGGCUGAAACUUAAAGGAAUUGGCGGGGGAGCACCACAACAGGUGGAGCCUGCGGUUUAAUCGGACUCAACGCCGGAAAUCUCACCGGAUAAGACAGCUGUAUGAUAGUCGGGCUGAAGACUCUACUUGACUAGCUGAGAGGAGGUGCAUGGCCGUCGUCAGUUCGUAUG